rnacentral:lncRNA from 1 species
UUUUUUUUUUUUUUUCCUUGAACUGUGCCCUGAAGGGUUUCCUCUCAUCCCUCUAUAGUAAGAGCCCUUUGACAGCCAGACCUCCGCAGGGCUUGGCUCUGCCUUGGACUUGCUGGUUUUGACCAGGCUGGUCUGGCUGGAUUCAGUCUGCACAUCCAUAACUGGAAGUUAUCACUUUUUCACGUGCCAAGAGCGCCUGAGUUAUUGUAAGACUCAAAUGAGACAAUAGGUAUGUGAGAGAACUCAACAGAGAUUUAUUGUGGGCUGGCUGUGUACGUGGAGCUGCGCUAAAUGAUGGUAAUUCAAAGAAAAUCCACCAACCGAUGUACCAACACACUUACCAACCAACCAGCCAGCCAGCCAACCAACCAACCAGCCAAUACACCAACCAAAUUACUAGCCAACCAACCAACCAACAUACCACUGGAAUUACCAACUAGCCAACCAAACAACCAAAUUACAAACGAACCAACCAAUGUAUCAUCCAAAUUAUCAACCAGCCAGCCAAUCUACCAACCAACCAACCAGCCACAUCGUGGAGGCUACCAUCUUGCUGGGGAGUGUUCUGCACUGAAAAACCCCCAAAGUUGUGAUACAGCCCUCAGAAACACACCAACCAAGGGGAAACGGUGACAGGUUAUUCAAAGGGAAGUGUUAACACAAGCAUCAAGGUCCGAUGGCGAUCGCCCAGGUGAAGUCUCAGAUCAAGAUGCACGUUUCCAAAGGGAGACCGAGCCGCGUCGGGAGAAGCUGGCGCACCAGGAUUCCUGGAGCGAGGGAAGCGAAGCAACCAGUAGGGAGAUAUGCCCACUGCUGGAGAGUGCCCUCCGCGGGAAGAAGUGGCAGGAGCUGCCUCUGCCUGUGAACCAGGCCGAGGGAGAGAGCAGCCAGCUUAGGAAGGACGGUGUCCAGCGGUGACCUAAGGAGUCAUGAGCCUUUGGAACAACAGACAUCAUCCAGGGGCAGCAGAAGAGCUUUUCUCACUGGAUACAUUUGAAAGGGGCGACAGGAGGCAAAAUAAAGCUACCUCGUGGCCGUGGCCGCACCCUGUGAAUCCUGCAUCCUCCUCGCCCCAGGCAUCAGCUUGUGAACACCCUGAAGAUGAGGGAGCAGGCAGACUGCCACUGACUCACUGCCCUGUGGCCUUGAAGGUCCCUGCCCUUCUCUGUGCCUGCAUUUCCCCAUCUGGGAGACGAGGGGCGGCCUGGACCGGAGGGCCCCAGCCCCCACCUUGGUGCACUCUGCCCUGGCACUGCGGGGGUGGGGGGAGAAGGAACUAGACCCCAAGCGGGUGGGUCCCGUUUGAUGAUGGUGAUGAGCAGGCGGUGGGGCUGAGGUCUCACCCAGGCAGGUGGGGGAGCCUUUUGGAGGAAGUGACCUGGACCCAGUGGAAGGCGAACCUGCGGGUCCUGGGGGAGAAGUUUCCGGUAAAGGAUCUGAGGUGAGCGUCUGGAGGUGGGGGUGACUAGGGUGCUGGGAAGGGGGCAGAGGGCAGGGCCUUGAAGGCCGAGACGAGGGCUGGUUCUGGCUCUGGGUGAGUUGACGUGAUGGGGGUGGUGAAAUGGACAGCACCCACGGCCUGAACCCAGCCAGAACCCAGAGUGGGACUCCAACCCAGCCUGAAGCCAGAGUGGGACUUGAACCCACAGUUUUAUUUUAUUUUAUUUAUUUUAUUUUUGUCUUUUCCAAGGCCGCACUUGCGGCAUGUGGAGGUUCCCAGGCUAGGGGUUCAGUUGGAGCUGUUGCCACCAGCCCAUACCACAGCCACAGCAACGGGGGAUCCCAGCCGCGUCUGUGACCUACAUCACAGCUCAUGGCAAUGCCAGAUCCUUAACCCACUGAGCAAGGCCAGGGAUUGAACCCGCAACCUCAUGGUUCCUAGUCGGAUUCGUUAACCACCGAGCCGUGAAGGGAACCCCCUGAACCCACAGUUUUAAAUUAGAAUCACAAACCCUGUGUCUGGACUCACUGAGGUUCAGGUUCCUUGUGCCUCAGCGCAGAAGGAACUCAGCGAAAGACAAAGUGAUAGGCAAGAAAUAGAUUUAUUCAGAUAGAACGCUUGUGAGAGAUGCAAGCAGGCAGGCGAGAAAGACCCGGGAUCAGGUGGGCUACAGGUGGGCUACCGUUUUAUCCUCCAAGGGAGUGGGAGUUGGAAAAUGCGCCUCUUCUUCUUUCUUAGUAGCUCCUCCUUCUUAUCUGGUAAGGUGUGUAUUCAAAUCAGCUGAAGGAUGGUCCUCAAACUCCCGCCCUGGGUCUGAGUCUGAAUGCAGGCCUCAUCCCAUCCCCACCGGACGACCUGAGGCAGUUCUCACCUCCACUAGUCAAGCAAGCCUGCCUGGUUCUGACGGCUUUCUUGAGCAAUUGUUAACUUACGGUGGUCUCCCAGCAUCUUCUAGGUUUCUCUAUCUGUGGUCCCUCACUGGGUCACCUGCAACCACCUGUCUCCAUCCCUAUCCGGGCAGAGGAGGGCAAAUCUGACUUUGGGGUGAGGGGAUAAUCC